rnacentral:lncRNA from 1 species
GGCUGCCAAUUCUCUUGAUCUAUUUCACAUUAACGACGAGGCCACAAACAAUAAUGUUAUUGUCUCAGAGUAAAAGAUUUUCUAAAAUAAGAUCAAACACAAUCCUAGAAUGUUCUCAUGCGCACAAACAGUCAACACCGUCCAACAAAACACAUCAUCUUUGUCAGACAUUUCAUCAAACAGCAGAGAGAGUGAAUGCAUUGGUUUAAAUAAGUAACAGUCAAUCACAUCAAAUUAGUUUAACACAUUACUUAUAAGCUAGAUCAUGCUGCAAUGCUAACACACUCAACAAAGCAAUGUGAAUCUAGUUAUGAACACACACCAGAUGCAUAAUAACAUAAACAUACUCAACAAUGUGAAGUAGGCAUGGAUUCCACUUAGCAUAGAUUAAGGAGACAACGUCAAAUUCUACCACUUCUAAAAUUAUAUAUAAAUCAAAAUUCUAAGAUGAAUUUUAUUGAUAUCAAAAGGAAGAAAAUCGACCUAACAAAUGAAGAAUGACAAACCUAACAAUCCAAGAAUCUAGAGUGUUUAUGAUUCAUAAACAUAAACUGGUUCGAAACCAAUUUAAUAAAAGAGAGGGUGAUAGGUGGUGGUUAAGUGGCCGCCGGUGGUGGUCCACGGUUGAGCUCCGGCGACGCGAACGGCGGACCUCCGGUGAUUUCAAGGCGGUUCGAUUUAAAUUUCUGGUUUAGUUUAUGAACCAUUUAAUUCCAUUUAAUAUGGUUCAACUAAUUUGUGGUUCAGUUUGGUUUAGUUUAGUGAU